AUUGAACGCUGGCUGCAGGCCUAACACAUUUAAGUCGAGCGGAUGAAGGGAUCUUGCUCCUGGAUUCAGCAGCCGACGGGUGAGUAAUGCCUAGGAAUCUUCCUGUUAGUGUGGGAUAACUUCCUGAAACUGGCGCUGAUACUGCAUACGUCCUGAUGGAGAAUUUUGGGGAUCUUCGGACCUCAUGCUAUCAUAUGAUCGUAGGUCGGAUUAGCUAGUUGUUGGGGUAAAGGCCUACCAAGUCGACCAUCCGUAACUGGUCUGAGAGGAUGAUCAGUCACACUGGAACUGAGACACGGUCCAGACUCCUACGGGAGGCAGCAGUGGGGAAUAUUGGACAAUGGGCGAAAGCCUGAUCCAGCCAUGCCGCGUGUGUGAAGAAGGUCUUCGGAUUGUAAAGCACUUUAAGUUGGGAGGAAGGGCAGUAAGUUAAUACCUUGCUGUUUUGACGUUACCAACAGAAUAAGCACCGGCUAACUUCGUG
rnacentral:rRNA from 1 species